UUUGUAAGAAAAUUGAUAUAACCUAACUUAUGGAAAAGAAUAAAAUUCAUUUAAAAAAAAAUGGUUAAUGUAAAUCAGUCUCGAAUUCCAAAGAAAAUAUCCAUAAAGAUCUGAGAGAGUUUCGAGAUUAUUAAAAAAUUACAUAAAAGAGCGUUUUUAAAGAAAGUUGGCAUAACUUGACCCACAGAAAGGAAUAAACUAAUUACGUCAAAAAAUAUCUGGAAUAAAUCAUUUUUAAAAAUAGCCAAUAUAAAUCAAUCCUAAAUUCCAAAAAAAAAUAUCCAUGAAGAUCUAACAGAGUUUCUAGGAAAGGAAAAUAGCAUGCAGAAUGAAGGGACCUGUGUUAAUAUGAUAGUAAGCUCCAAAAAUAACGUUGCCAAAUCUAUCUGUUAUCGUGCAAAUAUCUGCAAUGCGUUUUUAUAUCUUAUCUAUCAAUUAUUUUUAUUACUGAAUAUGGUUGGAUCUAUGUAUGUAUA